rnacentral:rRNA from 1 species
AAUGAACGCUGGCGGCAUGCCUAAUACAUGCAAGUCGAGCGGACGGACGAGAAGCUUUCUUCUCUGCUGUUAGCGGCGGACGGGUGAGUAACACGUGGCUACCCUACCUAUAAGACUGGGAUAACUUCGGGAACCCGGAUCUAAUACCGGAUGAUAUUUUGAACCGGAUGGUUCAAAAGAGAAAGACGUUCUUGCUGACCCUUAUAGAUGGUUCCGGGUUGCAUUGGCUAGUUGGUAAGGUAACGGCUUACCAAGGCAACGAUGCAUAGCCGACCUGAGAGGGUGAUCAGCCACACUGGAACUGAGACACGGUCCAGACUCCUACGGGAGGCAGCAGUAGGGAAUCUUGCGCAAUGGGCGAAAGCCUGACGGAGCAACGCCGCGUGAGUGAUGAAGGUCUUCGGAUCGUAAAGCUCUGUUAUUAGGGAAGAACAUAUGUGUAAGUAAAUGUGCACAUCUUGACGGUACCAAAACAGAAAGCCACGGCUAACUACGUG